rnacentral:rRNA from 1 species
GAUGAACGCUGGCGGCGUGCCUAAUACAUGCAAGUCGAGCGAACAGACGAGGAGCUUGCUCCUCUGACGUUAGCGGCGGACGGGUGAGUAACACGUGGAUAACCUACCUAUAAGACUGGGAUAACUUCGGGAAACCGGAGCUAAUACGGGUAAAUAUAUGGAACCGCAGGGUUCAAUAGUGAAAAAGGGUUUGCCUUUAACUUAUAGAGGGUUCCGCGCCGCAUUAGCUAGUUGGUAAGGUAACGGCUUACCAAGGCAACGAUGCGUAGCCGACCUGAGAGGGUGAUCGGCCACACUGGAACUGAGACACGGUCCAGACUCCUACGGGAGGCAGCAGUAGGGAAUCUUCCGCAAUGGGCGAAAGCCUGACGGAGCAACGCCGCGUGAGUGAUGAAGGUCUUCGGAUCGUAAAACUCUGUUAUUAGGGAAGAACAAAUGUGUAAGUAACUAUGCACGUCUUGACGGUACCUAAUCAGAAAGCCACGGCUAACUACGUG